UGCCUAGCAACUCCUAUCCCUAUCUCCUCGCGGUACCGGCCGGAAACUAUGAGCAACCUUAGGGAAGAUCGGGUAACCAACCCCGGUGGGAACUUUGGUCCAUAGGCUGACAGGGAAGG
rnacentral:ribozyme from 1 species